GGGGGGAGCAUGAUUUUUCCCCGUGAUUCAUUGCGACGAAAGGCGGUACCGCUGCUGCAGGAGCAACACCGCCGACGAUGAUUCCUCCAUCCGGGUCUUGGGUGGCGUUAUCUCGGUUGAGGAAGGAGAAACCUUGGCCUCAGAUGUGGUGGCCAGACUUGGCACUGAAGAUGAUAAAGGGAAAGUACUUGGAAACAGUUUUAUGGGUUUUUAAAACCUAGGCAAUUUGAGCAGGAUGAAGAUACUGUAUUGCUGUUCCUUUCUUUGAACAUUUGCAGUCAACUGAAUCUUGCCAUCCAGAGAAGUGCCUAAGGUUUAACCAUAUUUCUAUCUAGCAGUUAUAUGCAGAGAAAAGACUUAGUCUUUAAAUAGCCUGAUGUAUAAGAAUCAUUCAAUUAAACUUGUUCUUUUAAAAAUAUAAUCAGCAUAUCUUAAGUGAAGAUACCUGCACUGUGGGAUGAGGUAGUAGGUUGUAUAGUUUUUAGGGUCAUACCCACCACUGGGAGAUAACUAUACAGUCUACUGUCUUUCCUAAAGAGGCAGACAAUCAUCAGUGACAUCUGUAUGGUUUUAUUACUAGCUAUAUGGUUACAGUUGGAAGGCUUUUGUUAGACUUCAUAUGAACUAUAUUGAUCCUUUGCCAGGCAUACUAGACAUGAAAGUGUGGACUCAGAGGGUUGGAUCCUGAUAACCAUGAAAGGAAGGGAGCUCCUCUGUCAACUUUUCUCCUAUUUUCCCUUCCCCCAGACAGCUGACCCCAUCAUUAGGCAGAGUGAGGCAUCCACAGGAGAGGCAGGUGCAGAGGAGCAGCCCCCCAUCAUUCCUCCUGAGUCCCCUAAGCUAGUCUGCUGCCCCAGAUGCAGGGGGAUGUUGUCUCAUCACCAGUAUUAAAGUAAGAGUCACCUGCCAAUCCAGUUGGAUUUUUAUAUGGAAUGAAAUGGCAUUAUCUUGACAUUUAUCUCAGGCAGCAAAAUGGGUUGGGCUGGCCUUGCCCCCAACAGCCCCUGCUACCGAUUCAACACUGUUGAGGAUCCCCUUAAUCUCCAGAAAGGCUUUUUGUGAAGCACAGGUGAGGUGAGAUGGAGAUGUCCCCAUCUGCAAGUGAGUCUCAGGAUCCAAUCCAAAGGCAGGUAGACUCGGAGCAAAUUAACUGGAAGUAGAACUCCCAUCUAAAUUUCUCUUAUCAGGUUGAGGUAGUAGAUUGUAUAGUUGUAGGGCAGUUAUUUUGCCCUCUUUGGGAGAUAACUAUACAAUCUAUUGCCUUCCCUGAGGAGUAAAAUUUCUGCAGUAUUUUUGCUGAGUUUACCAGCAACCUUGGUUGAAUCUCUUUUAUACCAUAAAGGCUAUGGUUUGCAUAGAAGUACUGUAAUUAAAUUCUUUAUUUUUUUUGCUUUAAAUUGAUAUGUCAGCCUGAAAAAAAGGCUAGGUGGACUAUUCAGUGCUGAUAUCUAUUCUAUUCCUCUGACACUUGAAACAUUGAAGAAAAUUGAUCUACUGUUCCAUGCAGAAAGCUGUCUCAUUGGUGCAGUCUCACAUCUUUAACUAGUUAGUACAUGUGUGAACUACAAACACGGCUGUAAAUAUCAUUCCAGUUAAUCUUACUGCACGAGACAGAUUUAUAUAUUGCUUCAUGAUCAUUUCAGGUAUCUGCGUCUUGCCACUUGGCUUGAGCUGAGUUGGAUUUUUAAAAAAAUUGUUUUUAGGUUGCAGUGGGAGGAUGUUAAGUGUGCAUACUGUUCAUAACAAUGAUUUAACAGUGAAUGGCUUUGCUGUAAACUAGUUUCACACAUAGUAAAUGAACACAUGCAUUUUUUAUACUAUAUCUGAUGUUUAGUUGAGCUUUUAUGACAGCUAAUUGUUCUUUUUUUUCCUUUUUGAAGGAUUGCAGAACAAGCAGCGGGUUCCUAGGAAGAGGUAGUAGGUUGCAUAGUUUUAGGGCAGUGGUUUUGCCCACAAGGAGUUAACUAUACAACCUGCUGCCUUUCUUAGGGCUUUAAUAUUACAACAGGAUAAUAUUGGCUCAGUUUUAAAUCUUCCUCCAUGAGGCUAUGGUGUAAAGUUUGGAAGACACUAGAAAAGCUUUGUUAACUGAGUAAGCCAAACAAUGUGGGGAAGCCUUAAAAUAUCUUGUAGCCAACAGAAUGUAUCCUUUGCUGUGAUACAAAGUAUGCUAUCCAACUAGGUAGAAAAAGAGGGUGGUAAUAGCUUGAAGCCUGUUUCAAGACUAGGGCAAAGAACUGUUAUAUGUUUAUGAUAUAUAUGAUAAAGCAAACCAAGCUGGCCAAUAAACUGUUUCAUAGUAUGUUAUGUUUCCUGUCUUAUGUUGCCUUGUUCCAACACCCUAAUAAAGCUAGAAAAUACAGAUUUAAUGAACA